UACGGGGGGGGCAAGCGUUGUUCGGAAUUACUGGGCGUAAAGGGCGUGUAGGUGGCCAACUAAGUCCGACGUGAAAUCCCCAGGCUUAACCUGGGAACUGCGUCGGAUACUGGAUGGCUUGAAUUCGGGAGAGGGAUGCAGAAUUCCAGGUGUAGCGGUGAAAUGCGUAGAUAUCUGGAGGAACACCGGUGGCGAAGGCGGCAUCCUGGACCGAGAUUGACGCUGAGGCGCGAAAGCCAGGGGAGCAAACGGG
rnacentral:rRNA from 1 species